UGGGGAAUUUUGGACAAUGGGGGCAACCCUGAUCCAGCCAUGCCGCGUGCGGGAAGAAGGCCUUCGGGUUGUAAACCGCUUUUGUCAGGGAAGAAAAGACUCCUACUAAUACUGGGGGUUCAUGCCGGUACCUGAAGAAUAAGCACCGGCUAACUACGUGCCAGCAGCCGCGGUAAUACGUAGGGUGCAAGCGUUAAUCGGAAUUACUGGGCGUAAAGCGUGCGCAGGCGGUUAUGCAAGACAGAUGUGAAAUCCCCGGGCUCAACCUGGGAACUGCAUUUGUGACUGCAUGGCUAGAGUACGGUAGAGGGGGAUGGAAUUCCGCGUGUAGCAGUGAAAUGCGUAGAUAUGCGGAGGAACACCGAUGGCGAAGGCAAUCCCCUGGACCUGUACUGACGCUCAUGCACGAAAGCGUGGGGAGCAAAC
rnacentral:rRNA from 1 species